CUCUAAGGAUUAUCACACUAAGUCAUAAAAUCUGAACCGGCUAGAUACAGAGUUCAGAUUCGACUAGACUCUAAAUUGACACCCAGUCUUUUAUAAGUGUCUCUUCUCCUUCAUUGUUGGUAGUACAGCCCAUAGGGAGGCUCAGAGGGUCUUUGAACACUCUGGGUAUCCCUUGUUCCUCUCUGCCUAACUAAUGUGUGCUUUCCUUCAAAGCUCAGCUCCAGCACUGAUCCUGCUGGUAAACCUCUUUAAAUCUCCUGCAUGACUUUCAAUUUCCCUUUGUUUCUCCAUAGAAUCUUGUGAAAACUUUUAUCCGAGAACUUGAGAUGCAGAUUAUACUCACAAGCAAUUUGAGGACAGGAACUGUAACUUUUAUGAUCUUGUGCCCAAAACAUGGGUCCCUGCAGGAAGUAGAUUAUUUUUCCUCCGUUGACAAGACAGUGCCAGCAUAACUGAGGUCCACCAGGUCAGUGAUGGGGGAAGAGACUGAAUGGCCUUCCAUACUGAGAAUGACAGGCUUAAGGUCACAUCCUCCACUAUAAUACUAUAAGAAAAGUAUCUCAGCUUCCAUCUGCAAUUUUUUCCACCCUCCUCAAUUGUUCAGAACCUAUGUGGGAUGUGGGUCUGUCUUUAUCAGAUUGUCUCAUGGAUGCUGUCAUUUGGUGCAUAGACCAGAAGUGUAGUAAAAUAAGACAAAAGUGGAAUUUAUUGAGCAAAAUAUCUACUUAGAAACUCCUGGUUUAAAUCUAAAGUUUUGGGCUUUGGUGUGAUGACAAAAGGCUUUGACAUUGAUGGUUUAUGCACGUUUCUUUUAGGUUUUUGGGGAGGAAUUGUCUAUUGACUUUUACCUGCUGUGAUGAACAAAGGCUUUCAUCUGGCAUCACAAAGUCUCAUCCUAAUUGUGACUUCUGGUAGCUUGGUCUGUUUUUUUUUUUUUUUUUAAUUAGGUUAGGCAGGUUUCAUGUAGGCAUUGAGGAAGCUGAGCAAUUGGCUUCAUUAGCAAAAAAUGAGCCACUGUAAAAGUAGCUCAAGGAACAGGCUAGAGUGAGAAGCUGAGGCAAGGGUUGAAACCCAGGCCCAGGUAACCUUGCGGUCAGCAUUGCUAAGAGUUACAGUACCUCUGCAGCUCCUUGGGGGCAAUGAUGAAGUGAUUUUUACUGGCCUUUAAUGCGUUAGUGAGCUGAAAAAUAUUUUCUCUCUUUCAAAGCAGAACACUGAGUCAUGAGUGUAACACCUGGGAGGCAUUAGAAGGUUAGUGGUGAUAAUUUUUAGUUUCAGGCCUCCAAUCUAUCCUUGCCUCUCUGUCCUGAAUUCCAUUCUGCAUUCAGAGCCCAGGAGGGGUUGGUCCAGCAGACAAAUUAAGGCUAGUCUUAUAUUCC
rnacentral:lncRNA from 1 species